rnacentral:rRNA from 1 species
GACGAACGCUGGCGGCGUGCUUAACACAUGCAAGUCGAACGGCAACGCCCUGCUUUCGUGCGGUUCUCGAGUGGCGAACGGGUGCGUAACACGUGAGUAACCUGCUCUUGACUUUGGUAUAACUUCAGGAAACUGAGGCUAAUCCCGUAUCGGAGCUCCCGCUGCAUGGUGGGGGUUGGAACUUUUCGGCGGGCGGGGAUGGACUCGCGGCUUAUCAGCUUGCUGGUGGGCUAGUGGCUUACCAAGGGAUUGACGGGUCGCCGGCCUGGGAGGGGGACCGGGGACAUUGCGACUGAGAGACGGCGCAGACUCCUAUAGUGGGCAACAGUGGGAAAUAUUGCACAAUGGGCGGAAGUCUGAUACAGAAACGCCGCGGGCGGGAUGACGGCCUUCGGGUUGAAAACAGCUUUAGCCUGUGACGAAGCGGGAGUGACGGUAAUGGGUAAAGAAGCACCGGCUAACUACGUG